GUUUCUUAACCCUCACAUGAAACUCCCCAGUCGCCACUUUCAAAAACAAAACAAAAACAAAAAAACAAAAAAAAAACUCUCCAGCCGCCUCACUCUUUUUCCAUCUCACUUCUCCCCUCUCUCUCUCUUCCUUCACUGAGUCUCUCUCUCUCUCUCCCUAUUGAUCUAUUUUUCUCGUUCUGUGUCUGGAGAUGUCGAGCUGCGACGGAGAUGUUGAGCUGCCAAUCUGAAGAGAAAUGCGAGUGUUAAAUUCAAGUCGACGAGCAUGAUGAUUUUGAUGGAUCCAAUUAUAAAGGAAGAACAAGAGGAAACUGCAGCGCCUCACUCUUUUUCCAUCUCACUUCACCCCUCUCUCUCUCUUCCACCGACUUUCGCUGGAGAUGUUCGGGUGUGACCAGCUGCGAAAGCCUUUUCCUUUCUCUAUCAUCGCCGCCGCGAAUCCUACGUUCAGAAUCGCAGAUAACAUCCCGGCAUUGCGACGAUCUCUGCAAUUCUGAUGUUGCAACUUUCUCGUUUAUCGCACCUCAACCCCACUCCAAGUGUUCGACCAAAUGCCGGCAUGGAACUCCUCUUCUGUAGAAUCUGAGUUUGUAAUUUUGAUCUGAGGUUUUUGAAUUUGAUCUGAGCUUGUGCUAAAUUUUGUAAAUUUUUUGUUGAUGUGGAUGUGGGCUCUGAGAUGAGGCCAUUAAGGAAUGGAAA